GAUCCCGCCCCUUCUCUACAGUCUCGUGCUCGGCCAAGUACUUGCGGUGCGUGAAUCAAGUCGGGUUAGGGGAGAUAGUUUUCACAACCCAACUUUGAUGCACCGCUUCUGAAUUCUUCAAUGAGUGCGUUUGAAGUCACUUGCAGCAGCUUGCAGUGAAGAACGUCGCGAGGCAGCGGAAAACGACCUGCGUUUUCCAACAAGUCGGAUCAAAAUGAAUACCUGGAUUUGUGUAUUGCUUGUAAUCUUGGCGGCUGAGUCUACACAGGGGGUAAGUGUUGUCUGUUUACCUACACUUCUGUUCUUGAAGUGCGCUUAGAUAAAUUAUAACGCUA